UUUCUCCAUAUCACGAUCUUUUUCCUUUCCUCUUCCCUUCGCCACAAAAUUUUCCAAUUGUAUCAUCUAAACUGCAACCCUACCUUCCACCAUCACACAUCAAGCGGCUUCAACUUUGUCCAUAAUCGCAUGUCGGGUGGCUCCAUCUCCAUCCAUCGUCGUACGUCGGAUGGCUCCAAGUCUGUCCACCACUGCAAGUUCGUGACUCUCUCCGUGACCUUGCACCUGUCGACGUGACUCUACCCGUGUCCCUGUUUCAACUCCUUCCACCGUUGUAAGUUUCGUGGCUUCACCUCCCUCCACUGUAGUAAGAUCUAUCGCCCUUGAUUUAUGUAGAGGCUCCACCGCACUAGAUCUGCCGCUAAUCAUGGGCUCCCUUGAAAGGUGGUAGCAAAACUGCAUGGAAUACUGAGACCAUUUCUACUUCGGAAAUGCUUCCUUGGAAGAAAGAAAUUAUAAUGUAUGCAACCAUGACCAAAUAUCAGAAAAACUUUUAGGAAGAUUUUGUUAACAAGACAUUGAAAAAUCAUCUCCUUGAGAAGGGAUCAGGUAGACUACAAAUUUUGCAAAUAUUUCCAUCAUGAUAGUGUUGGUGAUAUGAUUGUGCAUUAAGGAUUACGUAAUUAACCAAGUUAACUUUUCUACAUGUAGAUCCAGAAGUUUAAUGAUGUUAACAGCAACUACAAAAUAUUUAUUCGAAGCACACAGGCUGGUAGUCUGGUUAUCGUUGUCGGUAUGCUUAGAGUUGGGGCAAUGGAAAUAGCAUAUGCAGAAGCUGAAGAGGGGUUCAAGUUUAUGUUCAUGACUUCAUGGAAGGAGAAAGAAUUAUGAGAAUCUUCAACUACAAAACCCGAAAGCAUAAAUCUAUUUCAAGAAGUUGAUGAUAACAAUCGUGAGACUUUGAGUUUGGAGUUAUCUAAGAGUGUGCACUACUACAAAUAUGGGUUUUAACGACGCAAGUUUUGGGUCAUAAAGACUUUCAACGACACAAUUUUCGCGUCGUUGAAGCCACUGUCAAGAAAGACUAUUUAACGACACUUUGAAAAAGGUGUUAUUUAAUAUGCUUAGAUGAUACCAAAAUUGUGUCAUUAAUACCUUUACCUUGACGCAAUAAAUAUGACACCGUUAUCUAGAACUCCACCAAUAUGUUGUCAUCAAUACCCUUAUAUUGACGCAAAUCAUCUGUCACCGUUAUCUAUACCUUGACACUAAUAUAUUGUCAUUAAUACUCUUAGAUUGACGUUUUAAAUGUGUCGCUGUUAUCUAUUACUCGACACAAAUUUAUUGUCAUUAAUAACCUUAUACUGACGCUUUAAAUAUGUCACAGUUAUCUAUAACUUGACACAAAUAUAUUGUUAUUAAUACCCUUACAUUGGCACUUUAAAUGUGUCACCGUAA